GAACGCACCUUGCGCCCUUUGGCUAUUCCGAAGGGCAUGCCUGUUUGAGUAUCAUUUAAUUCUCAACCUUAUUAGCUUUUGCCGAUAAUGGCUUGGAUGUGGGGGAUUAUUUUUUUGCUGGCUUCUUUCAGAGGUCAGCUCCCCUGAAAUGCAUUAGCUGGUUGCCCCGCGUGGACCGUCUAUUUGGUGUGAUAAUUAUCUACGCCGUGGAUGUCUGCAAUUGGUUUUGGCACUGCUUCUAACCGUCUAUUCAUUUGGACAAUACAUGACAAUUUGACCUCAAAUCAGGUAGGACUACCCGCUGAACUUAAG
rnacentral:misc_RNA from 1 species